GGAGAGGUGUCUGAGUGGUCGAAGGUACCACCUUGGAAAGGUGGCGUACGCGCAAGUGUACCGGGGGUUCGAAUCCCCCCCUCUCCGCCA
rnacentral:tRNA from 1 species